GAGCAAAUGAUGAGAAACAUUUGGAAUUGAAAACUGAUUGGCGAAAGCCAUGAAGCUUCCAAAAUUCGAGCUUUUUAAAACUGAUGCUCC